rnacentral:rRNA from 1 species
CAUCCAGACUCCUACGGGAGGCAGCAGUGAGGAAUAUUGGUCAAUGGGCGCGAGCCUGAACCAGCCAAGUCGCGUGAGGGAUGACGGCCCUACGGGUUGUAAACCUCUUUUGUCGGGGAGCAAAUUCCGUUACGUGUAACGGAGUCGAGAGUACCCGAAGAAAAAGCAUCGGCUAACUCCGUGCCAGCAGCCGCGGUAAUACGUAGGGUGCAAGCGUUAUCCGGAUUUAUUGGGCGUAAAGGGCUCGUAGGCGGUUCGUCGCGUCCGGUGUGAAAGUCCAUCGCUUAACGGUGGAUCCGCGCCGGGUACGGGCGGGCUUGAGUGCGGUAGGGGAGACUGGAAUUCCCGGUGUAACGGUGGAAUGUGUAGAUAUCGGGAAGAACACCAAUGGCGAAGGCAGGUCUCUGGGCCGUUACUGACGCUGAGGAGCGAAAGCGUGGGGAGCGAACAGGAUUAGAUACCCUUGUA